rnacentral:rRNA from 1 species
UACGGAGGGGGCUAGCGUUGUUCGGAAUUACUGGGCGUAAAGCGCACGUAGGCGGACCGGAAAGUCAGAGGUGAAAUCCCAGGGCUCAACCUUGGAACUGCCUUUGAAACUAUCGGUCUGGAGUUCGAGAGAGGUGAGUGGAAUUCCGAGUGUAGAGGUGAAAUUCGUAGAUAUUCGGAGGAACACCAGUGGCGAAGGCGGCUCACUGGCUCGAUACUGACGCUGAGGUGCGAAAGCGUGGGGAGCAAACAGGAUUAGAUACCCGGGUAGUCC